rnacentral:lncRNA from 1 species
UUGCAGGAGGAAAGGUUGACCGCAACCCCUAGGGCAGCAUUUUGAGAAAAUAGUAGGAACUGUACAAGGAGUCCAAAUACACAUUUUUAAGAGGCUCUGGUAUGUGGUUUCCAGGAAGCUGGUCUUUGACCUCGAACAUGUGGGCACGUUUCCCAGGACGCAUGUGCAGCUUCUAGGACGGAGAUGCCACCAGCCUUGGGAACGAAGGGUGGUCCACCCGGGGCUCCUUAAAAAUUACGUUAAGGCCCCAGCUGUAAUGGGCAGAAGUCAGAGGUCUGAGGGCAGACCGCAGUUCCACCCGCUUCCCAUCAAGCAGGGGGACGUGGCGCUGCCUAGAAACAGGGAACAGCAGCUCAGAAUUAAAUCAACCCAGCAUCCUGCAGCAAUUAAUGGGAAAAGAGCAAGUACUGCCAACAAAAUUUUAAAAAUCAGCUCGGCGUCGUGUUUGGAUGUGACCAAGGGUAUAUAACCUGUCCAUGGGAAGACUUCGGCCCUCGCCUGUUUCAAACGACAGACAGGAGUGUUAGUUCUUUGGUGACACGUCUGCUUCUCGCCUCAUGAACAUGUAGGAAUUUUCUCUAAAUAUGAUCGCGUGUGUAUUACUUCUUUUAGACUUAUAAAUGCGGGCUACAUUGACCUAAUAAUUCCACUGAUCUUUUAUUUGCCACAAAUAUUACAGCUCAUUCAGACAUUUUAAACAUACCACUUGCCGUUUUGUCUGGGAUAUAAUUAAUUAUCCAUUUUGCUUUCUGGACUAGGACAAUUCCUAAAGUCUAGGGCUUUUCCCUCAGCAACAGCGACACGUAGGCAGAGUUCUCAAUUACACCGCAUUUUUCAUCAUGAAGUUGUUGAGAUGUGUCAAAAUUCAAGAGACAUUCCUUUUAGAGCAAGGCUAAAAUAUGCAGGUAAUCUGAACAAGUUUUUGGAGGCCACCAGAGUGGAUAAAGGUGAUAUAAUAUGUAAAUGAUAAAUAUGCUAUAAAAGAUAAAAACAAUACAAUAUUUUAGUUAUUUAAGGAAAGGAAACCCUAGUUCUAGCUCAUAGACUAAAAUAUACCAUUGUUGCACUCGCAAUUUAUAAGGCAAUUCUAC